GAUGAACGCUGGCGGCGUGCCUAAUACAUGCAAGUCGAGCGAACAGAUAAUAAGCUUGCGCCUUUGACGUUAGCGGCGGACGGGUGAGUAACACGUGGAUAACCUACCUAUAAGACUGGGAUAACUUCGGGAAACCGGUUCUAAUACCGGAUCACAUAUUGAACCGCAUGGUUCAAUAGAUAAACGCAGCUUUGCCGUCACUAUGAGAUGGAUCCGGGCCGUAUUGUCUAGUUGGUAAGGUAACGGCUUACCAAGGCACCGAUCCGUAGCCGACUUGAUGGGUUAAUCGCCCCACUGGAACUUGAACACCGUCCAGACUCCUUAGGGGAGGCAGAAGUAGGGAAUCUGCAGCAAGGGGCGAAAGCCUGACGGAGCAACGCGGCGUGGUGGAUGAAGGUCUUCGGUUCGUAAAACUCUGUUAUCAGGGAAAAACAAAUGUGUAAGUAACUGCGCACAUCUUGAGGGUACCAGAGCAGAAAGCCCCGCCUACUUCCGG
rnacentral:rRNA from 1 species